GGUAUAGCUCAAGUGGUAGAGUGCUUGCUUAGCAUGCAAGAGGUCCUGGGUUCAAUUCCCAUGACCU
rnacentral:tRNA from 1 species